AUGAACGCUAGCUACAGGCUUAACACAUGCAAGUCGAGGGGCAGCAUGGUCUUAGCUUGCUAAGGCCGAUGGCGACCGGCGCACGGGUGAGUAACACGUAUCCAACCUGCCGUCUACUCUUGGACAGCCUUCUGAAAGGAAGAUUAAUACAAGAUGGCAUCAUGAGUCCGCAUGUUCACAUGAUUAAAGGUAUUCCGGUAGACGAUGGGGAUGCGUUCCAUUAGAUAGUAGGCGGGGUAACGGCCCACCUAGUCUUCGAUGGAUAGGGGUUCUGAGAGGAAGGUCCCCCACAUUGGAACUGAGACACGGUCCAAACUCCUACGGGAGGCAGCAGUGAGGAAUAUUGGUCAAUGGGCGAGAGCCUGAACCAGCCAAGUAGCGUGAAGGAUGACUGCCCUAUGGGUUGUAAACUUCUUUUAUAAAGGAAUAAAGUCGGGUAUGGAUACCCGUUUGCAUGUACUUUAUGAAUAAGGAUCGGCUAACUCCGUGCCAGCAGCCGCGGUAAUACGGAGGAUCCGAGCGUUAUCCGGAUUUAUUGGGUUUAAAGGGAGCGUAGAUGGAUGUUUAAGUCAGUUGUGAAAGUUUGCGGCUCAACCGUAAAAUUGCAGUUGAUACUGGAUAUCUUGAGUGCAGUUGAGGCAGGCGGAAUUCGUGGUGUAGCGGUGAAAUGCUUAGAUAUCACGAAGAACUCCGAUUGCGAAGGCAGCCUGCUAAGCUGCAACUGACAUUGAGGCUCGAAAGUGUGGGUAUCAAACAGGAUUAGAUACCCUGGUAGUCCACACGGUAAACGAUGAAUACUCGCUGUUUGCGAUAUACUGCAAGCGGCCAAGCGAAAGCGUUAAGUAUUCCACCUGGGGAGUACGCCGGCAACGGUGAAACUCAAAGGAAUUGACGGGGGCCCGCACAAGCGGAGGAACAUGUGGUUUAAUUCGAUGAUACGCGAGGAACCUUACCCGGGCUUAAAUUGCAGAUGAAUUACGGUGAAAGCCGUAAGCCGCAAGGCAUCUGUGAAGGUGCUGCAUGGUUGUCGUCAGCUCGUGCCGUGAGGUGUCGGCUUAAGUGCCAUAACGAGCGCAACCCUUAUCUUUAGUUACUAACAGGUUAUGCUGAGGACUCUAGAGAGACUGCCGUCGUAAGAUGUGAGGAAGGUGGGGAUGACGUCAAAUCAGCACGGCCCUUACGUCCGGGGCUACACACGUGUUACAAUGGGGGGUACAGAGGGCCGCUACCACGCGAGUGGAUGCCAAUCCCCAAAACCUCUCUCAGUUCGGACUGGAGUCUGCAACCCGACUCCACGAAGCUGGAUUCGCUAGUAAUCGCGCAUCAGCCACGGCGCGGUGAAUACGUUCCCGGGCCUUGUACACACCGCCCGUCAAGCCAUGGGAGCCGGGGGUACCUGAAGUGCGUAACCGCGAGGAGCGCCCUAGGGUAAAACUGGUGACUGGGGCU
rnacentral:rRNA from 1 species